rnacentral:pre_miRNA from 1 species
GUAUAAUUGUGUGUGGAUGGUGUUCAGCACCAAGGACAAACCUGUAUAAUUGUGUACGUGUGUGGAUGGUGUUCAGCACCAAGGACAGGCCUGUAUAAUU